rnacentral:snoRNA from 1 species
UGGGCGGAUAGGAACCAUUUCGUGCCGGUGCGCGAUGUGGGCCGAUAAACCGCCAAUAAUGAACUGUUGGGGUCUACGUUGCGAGUUUCGCUAUUUGGCGAGAUCCGCUAUGGUUCCUAAUUGAACAUUU